UCUAAGCGAGCGCUCGGAAAGAUCGCACGCUAUAGUGUGGGCCAGACAGGCGAAGCAAAACAUUCAAGAAAGCCCCGAUAGUCCCACAAAUCUGAUGAGUGGUUUCACAGCCAUCAAUGAGGACAACAACAACAACAGGUUUUUCAAUAGCUUUGUAGAGAUGAAGACGGGGGUUAGAGAUGGACCUCCAAGAUGGCUGUGAAGGGCCACACUAACACUGUAGAGGCCCCUGGGAAGCUUGUCUCUGGUGGCCCUGAGACAACGCACGCACACUUCCACAGGCUGAGGAGAUGGACUUGGAUGCAUCUAUAAGAACAAACACAGGCCUUACUUUUCCAUUCCCAUUGAAGACAUCCAUCAGCCUUCGCUUCAUCUUCACCCAGUGGCUCAUCUUCGGAGCAGCAACCUGCUGUAAAUUCACAUGCGCACAAUGGAAGAAUUGAGCAAAAGAAAUGAACUGGCCUGCAAUCUACAGUGAAUCGAUAGACCCUGAAGACAUGUUGCCUUUCAUGAGUGACAUUGUGGCAGGCUGCAAAAGCCGAGACAAAAGCGUGCGGGAAAAUGUCGGGAUCCACGCCGACACACGCUGAUCCACGUGUGCAAGUGCGAUGAGGACGUGCGGCCUAAACCGGUGGGAGGCAUCCAUACAACAGCGUAAGGUGAUUGUCUGGAAGUCCGCUGUAAACAAGGCCUCGGCUUUGAGCUGUCUUCCUCGGUCCCAGUGUGCGCUAGUGCCAGGAGAGCGUGGACAACAAAAAAUCAUCUUCACCCAGCUAAAGCUACCAUUUGGAGACGUGCAAUAGGCAAAGGAGUCAAGGACAUGGGUGCUCCUGAAAAUGACAAGGCUGUACAUACAGUAUGUAUGUGUGUCCUCCUAGAUCUUUGAAAUAGAAUAUCACAUUUGUGUUUCUUGCCUGCAUGAUGCAAGGUUUUUUUUUUUUUAAGAGACAUCAUAGAGUAAACAUCAUCUGUCGUGAUGUGCCUGUGUGGCAAUGUGAAACACAAAUUGAGGGCACACAUGCAUCUCUUCAGUUAAUAUAAAAGCAAGGCAUCGAGCUAAUGUUACCCUCAAAGUGUGAUCUUUUUGAUGUGCGCACAGUAAUUGUGACCCAGCCAACAGUUUCUUAUUAACACAACAAGCGCGUCAGUUGGUGUAGACAGAAAACAUAAUUAGUAUUCAGGCUUAAUUAAUCUACGCUGGCCCCCUUAAAGUGAAUUGGGCAAUUAUUUAUGCAUGUGUGCUCCUCUGAUGCUAACAGAUUAUGUACGUUGCUGAAAGAGAGGGGAAGCGAAACCUUGGAAAAUGACUUUGAAAACUUUCCACCAUAAAAAUGUCAAAACAAGCCGGAC